GCAAGAAUAUAAUAAAGAAAUAAAGUGAAGAGAUAAAGCACACCACAAACACAAGGAUUUAAAGUGGUUUGGUGCUAACCUUGCACCUACAUCCACUCUCCAAGAUCCUACUUGGGAAUUUCAAUCCACUAUCCUUUGUAUUCAACCCGAAUACAAAAUGUCAGAAACUCCGACACUAGCUAUCCCAAGCUAGAUCACUUGUUUCUCGGGUACA
rnacentral:lncRNA from 1 species